rnacentral:misc_RNA from 1 species
GAUGAAGACGUAGCGAAAUGCGAUACUUGGUGUGAAUUGCAGAAUCCCGUGAACCAUCGAGUCUUUGAACGCAAGUUGCGCCCGAAGCCAUUAGGCCGAGGGCACGCCUGCCUGGGCGUCACACGUCGUUGCCCCCCCAUCUACUCCUUCGGGAUUGCGGGGGGCGGAUGAUGGCCUCCCGUGCGCCUCGCCGCGCGGUUGGCAUAAAUGCCAAGUCCUCGGCGACGCACGCCACGACAAUCGGUGGUUGCGAAACCUCGGUUGCCCGUCGUGUGCGGUCGUCGCGCAUCGAGGGCUCGAAAAAAUUGCCGGGUUCCGGCUCGGCUUUCAACGCGACCCCAGGUCAGGCGGGGUUACCCGCUGAACUUAAGCAUAUCAAUAAGCGGAGGA